rnacentral:rRNA from 1 species
UACGAAGGGUGCAAGCGUUACUCGGAAUCACUGGGCGUAAAGCGUGCGUAGGCGGUUUCUUAAGUCUGUCGUGAAAGCCCUGGGCUCAACCUGGGAACGGCGAUGGAUACUGGGAAGCUAGAAUGUGAGAGAGGAUGGUGGAAUUCCCGGUGUAGCGGUGAAAUUCGUAGAUAUUCGGAAGAACACCAGUGGCGAAGGCGACUUACUGGACACAUAUUGACGCUGAGGUGCGAAAGCGUGGGGAGCAAACAGG